rnacentral:tRNA from 1 species
GAGGGUAUAGCUCAGUGGUAAGGGCGUGUGCUUAGCAUGCAUGAGGUCCUGGGUCCAAUCCCCAGUACUUCCA